CCUGAUUGAUUGAAGUGAAAGUGUUGGAAGAAUACUGCUUUUUUUUCUCUAUGUUUUCAGAGAUAAUAAAAUGAUCUUUGGAAGGAUGGAAACAGUUCAUUAAAAAGAAUACUCAGAAGAGAAAGAUUCUAAAAGGAAAGAAGGAAAUCCUAAACUAUGUCAGAAUAGAAGGUAGAAGAAUGUAGCAAAAAGAAGGAAAGAAAAAAAACACCAAAUGCCUGGAGCUAUGGGCAGUGAAAUGUACUCUGAACACAGUGAGCAUGCUUCAUCUGUCAAAUUUAGUUACACUUUAUUGCAUCUCUCAUUAGCUGAGAUCAUGGGGAAAAACAUUUCUCAUGCUGUUGGACUGCCAACUCAUAUUUGGACAACAGUUAAGCUCUUAAGCAAUGAAGCAUCUGCCUAAGAUUCUAUUGCCUCAAACUCCAAAACAACCCAAGGAAGUGUUUGGCCAGGAAAUGGCCUUAGAUCUGCCUGCACUAUUGAAGAAGGGCAACCAGCAAGUACUCUUCUCUUCCAGGAGGAAAGGCUUGGAGGCCCUGUGCAAAGCUUGUCUCCUUGACACCAAACAGUGGCUGAAUCAGGACCAGAACACAAGGCCCACAGGACCUCUCUCUCCAGGAAGGAUUCGCAGAGUACAUUGGAUUUUCCCUGAUUUUCUAACCCUGGAGCAGGGCCCCCCUGUGGUUAAUUUAACACUUGUAAAUUUCCACUCAGCUGAGACAAAUCUGCCUCUGUCUGAAUAAAUUGACCAUAUUCCAU
rnacentral:lncRNA from 1 species